rnacentral:rRNA from 1 species
UAAUUUGUAGAGGAUGCUUCGGAAUGGCCCCAGUCUAAGUUCCUUGGAACAGGACGUCGCAGAGGGUGAGAAUCCCGUAUGUGACUGGGUAGCCGGCCCAUGUGAAGCUCCUUCGACGAGUCGAGUUGUUUGGGAAUGCAGCUCUAAAUGGGUGGUAAAUGUCAUCUAAAGCUAAAUACCGGCCAGAGACCGAUAGCGCACAAGUAGAGUGAUCGAAAGAUGAAAAGCACUUUGGAAAGAGAGUUAAAAAGUACGUGAAAUUGUUGAAAGGGAAGCGUUUGCAACCAGACUUGCCUGCAGUCGAUCAGCCGGUGUUCUCACCGGUGCACUCUUCUGCGGUCAGGCCAGCAUCGGUUUGGGCGGUUGGAUAAAGGCCUGGGGAAUGUAGCUCCUCUCGGGGAGAACUUAUAGCCCCAGGUGUCAUGCAGCCUGCCUGGACCGAGGACCGCGCUUCGGCUAGGAUGCUGGCGUAAUGGUUGUAAACGACCCGUCUUGAAACACGGACCAAGGAGUCUAACAUCUAUGCGAGUGUUUGGGUGUCAAACCCGUACGCGUAAUGAAAGUGAACGGAGGUGGGAAGCGCAAGCUGCACCAUCGACCGAUCCUGAUGUCUUCGGAUGGAUUUGAGUAUGAGCAUAGCUGUUGGGACCCGAAAGAUGGUGAACUAUGCCUGAAUAGGGUGAAGCCAGAGGAAACUCUGGUGGAGGCUCGCAGCGGUUCUGACGUGCAAAUCGAUCGUCAAAUUUGGGUAUAGGGGCGAAAGACUAAUCGAACCAUCUAGUA